AANGGGUGACGAAGCGACGCCGCGUGUGGGAAGAAGGCCUUCGGGUUGUAAACCACUGUCGGGAGUUAAGAAGUGUAAGGGUGUUAAGAGCAUCCUUGCUUGACGUUAGCUCCGGAGGAAGCCACGGCUAACUCUGUGCCAGCAGCCGCGGUAAUACAGAGGUGGCAAGCGUUGUUCGGAAUUAUUGGGCGUAAAGAGCACGUAGGCGGCCCUGCAAGUCAGCUGUGAAAUCCUUCUGCUCAACGGAAGAACGGCAGUUGAUACUACAGGGCUCGAGUGCGGGAGGGGAGAGUGGAACUUCUGGUGGAGCGGUGAAAUGCGUAGAUAUCAGAAGGAACAUCGGCGGCGAAAGCGACUCUCUGGCCCGUAACUGACGCUGAGGUGCGAAAGCUAGGGGAGCAAACGGGAUUAGAUACCCCGGUAGUCCUAGCCGUAAACGAUGGGCACUAAGUAGAGGGGUUU
rnacentral:rRNA from 1 species